rnacentral:rRNA from 1 species
CCAGCAGCCGCGGUAAUUCCAGCUCCAAUAGCGUAUAUUAAAGUUGUUGCAGUUAAAAAGCUCGUAGUUGGAUUUCUGGUGGCGGAGCGCCGUCCGGCCCUCGUGGCUGCGCAUGCGCGCCUCCGCCGCCAUCCCUUGGGGAGAGCGCGCCUGGCAUUUAGUUGUCGGGCGCGGGACCCCCAUCCUUUACUGUGAAAAAAUUAGAGUGUUUAAAGCAGGCUUAGGCCGUUGAAUACAUUAGCAUGGAAUAAUAAGAUAGGACUUUGGUGGUCUAUUUUGUUGGUUUGCACACCAAGGUAAUGAUUAAUAGGGACAGUUGGGGGUAUCCGUAUUUCGUAGUCAGAGGUGAAAUUCUUGGAUUUACGAAAGACGAACUACUGCGAAAGCAUUUACCAAGGAUGUUUUCA